CAAAUACAGGUCAGAGAUUUGUAAGACCGUAUACCUAAAAGACAGCACUAUGAAGUGGACCUGUGUGUUGCUGCUUGUUGGUCUGAUGGCUUUGACAGUUACAGCGCAGAGUGGUGCUAGCUCUGGAAGGACAUAUCCUUUAACCUGGCCUUUAAUGUGCUGUGUUUGCAUUAGGGCUCCCUGUCCCUGCAUUCCCCCUCACCACCCUAUUUGUAGGUGGCUGGACUAAUCCUGAACAUCAAGGAAAAACGAAAUGAUAACAAUUUUGGGUUCCUUUCAAAUAAAAUGAAAUUGUAUCAUU